CAUGUAAGGAAACUUCUGAACACGGCAGCCUUUUCAGGAGUUUUAAUAAGUGCAGAAUCUGAUGUACUUACUCCCAAGAAGUUCCACCUGCUGAUGGAUGAUUAUCAGGUCCAGCUGCAAAGGAUGAGACAAAGAAGUGAAAACCAUUCCAUCACAGCCCUUACUAUGCAACAGGAAGCCUGUCAUUUUCAUUAAAACAUUUUGAACACCCACCAUGUAUAAGACAAAAGACCAAAGUAGACCAAGGAAAACAGAAAACUUUCAGACACCAACAGAAAGUCAAGUGAAGCAGAGAAAGUGUUCUGGUAUCAAAUAUCGGCCACCUUUGGCCUAGGUGGUAGGAACCAACUGGGUUUCUAUUAAUAUUGAUGUCGAGCUGCUAAGUUUGCAUUUGUCUAUGGCAUUUGAGAUCUAUCUGUACAGGACUUGCUUGAGGAUUAAAUGAAGAAACUUGUCCUUUGUCUCCACUGUAAUAGAGCUUGUAAGUUAUAAGUUUGCAGCAAUUGGCUUCCCACAAAGAUCCCUCCAGAACUGCCCUGACCUCAGCUACAGACACAAAAGAAGGGGAUAACACAUCUUAUUCUUAGGAAAAGACCCUGGGAGGGGGAGAUAGCGCCGUCGUGAAAGUAAAACGCCUACUUGGAGAAAGUCCCAUAACUUCGUGGCCGAGAGAGCUUCUUAAAACCAACACAGAGAAAGAAAAAACAAAUGAUAAUAAUCUAGAAGACCGGAAAGAAAGGAAAAAAGCCCUAGACAUCUAGCAGAACAUGUCCAACUUGAUACCUCAGCACAUUUAUCUAGAGCCCUCAUUGACCUGGAUGAAGUAGAAAAGACUGAAUUGGAAGCUCGGUGCUCAAUGACUCUGUCCAUGUAGAUAAAUCAUCUCCUGUCAGUAGAAUGCAAGGCCCAUAGAAGAAACAAACAUUUACCUGGCCUAUUGUUCUUUA
rnacentral:lncRNA from 1 species